rnacentral:lncRNA from 1 species
AAAAAUGACUGUAAAACAGCCCCCAGGACUUGAGCCCGAAGCAGAUACUCUGCUCAAUACAACAAAAGAGAAUAAAGAUGCCCUGUACAUGAUUACUGCUAACAUAUAUAUAGAAUCAUUCUUAACAAACAUGCUGAGCUGUCUCAAUCCCUUCCUUGCUGCACACCACUCCCCUUUGUUGUAGAUUUGUUGUAGAUUUAUUCCUUCUAUAAUAAACCAAAAACGGUUUUGCACUUGAUGACGUGGCAUUCUUAUCAUUACCGCCCCCUUCUGAAAAAGCCUUGUCCUCAAGGCUGAAAUUCAGAAAUUGUGCCUUCAGGUCAGACUCGUUUAUCCAAGUUGCAUCUGUUUCGCUUUGCCCCUGCCACUGAAUUAAUACCUGAGGUAUUGGGCCUGAAGUGGAGUGCAGAGAUCGUCGCUGGCAAACUUUAUAGGGCUCAACCAAUGGUCCUGCUUCUAUGUUGAGACCAUCCGGCAAUUGUGCAAUGACUGGAUGGUUGCCAAUUACCCUCUUGAGCUGAGACACAUGGAAUACAGGGUGUAUUUUGGAUCCCAAAGGCAGUUGGAGCUUAUAAGCAACAACCCCUACCUUCUUGAGUACUUCGAAGGGUCUGUAGAAUCUAGUAGCUAGCUUGUCAUUGACUCUAUUGGCUACGGACUGCUGCCUAUGUGGCCUGAGUUUAAGGAAGACCCUUUCCCCAAUGGAGAACUGAACAUCACGGCGUUUGGGGUUAGCAUAUUUGGUCAUCAGCUGCUGAGCUCUAUGUAGAUUGUAGCAGAGCUGCUGAAGUAUCUUAUCCCUAUCUUGGAGGUGGUGGGAAAGAGCUUCAACACGAGUUUCACCCGGUAGGAACCGCUGAAGGGUGGGGGGUAGCCUGCCAUAAACUAGUUCAAAUGGUGUUUUCUUAGCAGCUCCUUGAUAAUUGGUGUUAUACCAAUAUUCUGCCCAGCAAAGCCACUUAGCCCAUGACUUCGGAUGCUCGCAGGAGAAACACCGGAGGUAGGAUUCCAAGCUGCGGUUUAGCACCUCUGUCUGACCAUCACUUUGGGGGUGAUAAGUGGUGCUGAAGGACAGAGUAGUACCUUGCAAGCGGAAGAGUUCAGUCCAAAAGUUACUUAGGAACAAUGGGUCGCGGUCACUGACAAUAGUUACCGGAACACCAUGGAGUCUCACAAUCUCCCUCAUAAACAGAGUGGCUACGGAUGCAGCUGUAAAAGGGUGUCGAAGGCCGAGAAAGUGAGCAUAUUUUGACAAUCUAUCAACCACCACUAAGAUGCAGUCCACCCCUUGGGACUUUGGAAGGCCUGUGAUGAAAUCAAGAGCUAUGUCCUCCCAUAUUUGGCUUGGAACUGGAAGUGGCUGUAACAGACCCGCCGGCGACUUAGCCUCAUAUUUGUGUGUUUGACAGAUCAAGCAAGCAGCGACAAACUUCUUUAUGGUGCCCAUCAUACCCGGCCAAUAGAAAUUGGAGGCAACCCUUUUGUAAGAUCUAUAAGCUCCUGAAUGUCCGCCUAACGGAGUAAAAUGAAACUCUUCUAUGAUCUUGGGUAUCCACUUAGAGGAGGGAGGUAGCACCNNNNNNNNNNNNNNNNNNNNNNNNNNNNNNNNNNNNNNNNNNNNNNNNNNNNNNNNNNNNNNNNNNNNNNNNNNNNNNNNNNNNNNNNNNNNNNNNNNNNNNNNNNNNNNNNNNNNNNNNNNNNNNNNNNNNNNNNNNNNNNNNNNNNNNNNNNNNNNNNNNNNNNNNNNNNNNNNNNNNNNNNUAUUCAAUAUUGAAAUUGUAUCCCAUGAGCUUGGCUAACCAGUAUUGUUGGGCUGGUGUGGACACAUUUUGUUGAAGAAGGUGCAUAAGGCUCUUUUGAUCAGUCCUCACUGUAAAACACCUCCCAAUUAGGUAUGGCCUCCAAUGCCGGAUUGCUAGAACAAGGGCCGUCAACUCAUUUUCAUAAGCAGACCUGGACAUGGCUAGGUCUCCGGUAGCCUUGCUGAAAUAAGCAAGAGGUCUGUUAUCUUGAUGGAGGACAACCCCAAUCCCAGACUUAGAAGCGUCGGUUUCGACUAUAAAGGGCUUAGAGAAAUCUGGCAUUGCCAGUACAGGGGAAGUAGUCAUGGCAUGCUUGAGAGCAAUGAAUGCGUCUUGAGCAUCUUGUGGCCAUGUGAAUUUGGCUUGGGCUUCCUUCUUGAAAGAGUGGUGAGAGGGCGAGCUAGUUGUCCAUAAUUGGCGAUAAAGCGCCUAUAAUACCCUGUAAUACCCAGAAAUCCUCGCACUGCCCUGGUAGAUUUUGGAAUGGGCCACUGUAGGAUACUUGAGACUUUGGAAGGAUCCAUAACAACUCCAUCCUUAGAGAUAAUAUGCCCCAGGUAUUCAACUGAUUUCCGGCCAAAGAAACAUUUCUUUUGAUUGAGCUGAAGUUUGGUAUCACAAAGCAGUUGGAGCACAAGCCUUAAGUGUUUCAAGUGAGAAUCCCAACUGUUACUAUACACCAAAAUAUCGUCGAAGAAGACUAGGACAAAUUUCCGGAGAUAGGGGCGAAAGGGAUCGUUCAUUACCGCUUGAAAUGUGGCUGGCGCAUUGGUUAACCCAAAUGGCAUGACAAGAAAUUCGUAAUGGCCCGAGUGUGUCCAGAAAGUUGUCUUGGGAGUAUCAGCUUCAGCCACCCUAAUUUGAUAAAACCCGGACUUAUGGUCUAGUUUAGAGAAGACCUGAGAACCAUGCAAUUCGUCCAACAGUUCCUGGAUAACAGGAAUGGGAUACUUGUGAGGAAUUGUAGAGUGGUUUAGUUGCCUGUAGUCAACGCAGAACCGCCAGCUGCCAUCCUUUUUCUUGACUAGGAGGACAGGAUUAGAAUAUGGGCUGGAGCUGGGUUUGAUAAUUCCAGCUGAAAGCAUAUCAUGCACCAACCUCUCGAUCUCAUCUUUCUGAAUGUGGCCAUACCUAUAAGGUUUCACAGAUAUUGGUCCCUGACCUGGCUGAAGGGCGAUCCUGUGAUCGGUGGAACGACGAGGAGGGAGGCCAUAGAUUUCCUGAAAAACAGAAGCAUGAGCCGCAAGAAGUUCCUGUAAUUAUUGGCUCUCAGAAUCAAAAUUCUCUACAGUGGAGACACAUGACAUUGGAGGAGGAUCUAUGGACAGUUCCAGUAGGACUGCAGAGAAAGACAUAUUUGUGACCUUAGAGAACGAUUUGGCAGAAAUCGCUCCCCGGGUUAGAGAUGGAUCACCACAUAAUUCCACCAACUGAUUUUGAUGUAGAAACUUCAUAUUAAGCCCCUGCCAAUUCACCUGCACAUCACCAAGUGUUUCCAACCAAGCAACACCCAAUAUUAUAUCAAGAUCUCUCAACGGAAAUAUAAAGAAAUCACCAGAAAUAGUGUAGGAACCCAGUUGGAAAUGUAAGUUGCUGCACACGCCGGAAGUUUUCAUGCGGUGGCCAUCACCAAGCUUGACAAGGAACGGGUCGGUGGGUUCAACUGCCAAAUUCAGUGCCUGAGCAAGAUCGGAGGACACAAAAUUGUGGCUAGCUCCGCUGUCCACCAUGACUAAUACUAAGUGAGAAGCCAGUAGACCCAUAAUCUUCAUAGUCUUGGGUUGAGAGAGGCCAUAGGCAGAACAUAAGGAAAGCUCAAGCUGCUGGAAAUGGCUUUCAUUGAAGUUUAUGGGCAGAGCUGUGAAGAUAUCUGAAUCUAAUUCGUGUAGGAGCCCUUCAUCUGUGAGAGGUUCAUCCUCUCCUCCUAUUAUUGCCCGUAGGGAUUUGUGAGGGCAUUCAUGAAGUGGAGAGUAAGGUUGUUUGCAACGAAAACAGAGCCCCUUCUCUCUUAAGUCUUGGUAUUCUUUGUGAGAAUCGGGCUUGAAUCCACGGGUUCUGGGAGAGGAAGUGGAAUUUCGGGAAGGAGCAGGGAGAAAGGGUUGGCGAGAGGUAAAAUCUGGAGGUCUGGAGGAGUGGGUUAUGGUUUGAGUAUUGGGUCGGGUCGGGUUUUGGGUGGGUGGUGGAGUUUGAAGUGGGGCGGUGAGAAAAAUUUAGGGCCCAGACCAAACUUACCUGGAGAAUCGCUACCAGAUGAUCGCAGCGUGGGUUUCUGAGUAUAUGGUGACUGCAGUUCGUUCAACCUCCAGCGCAACUCUCAUCGCGCGAUGCAGUUCCUGAGAAUCAGCGGAACGUAUUCUAACUCGGAUUUCUUCUUUUAACCCAUUUAGAAAAUAUCCCAAGAGUUAAAAAUCUGUGAGGUUUGGAGUUUGUGCGGCUUGGGUAAUGAAUUCAUCAAUGAAGGAUAAUGAAUUCAUAAAUGAAGGUGGACACCGAGUUCAAUUGUUUUGUGGCAGCAAGCAGCUCGUAGGGAUUAUCCGAAUCUGAACCACUAUAUUUGAUGAGGAGUUCGGUUUUGAGUUUAGCAAGCAGCUCGUAGGGAUUAUCCGAAUCUAAACCACUAUAUUUGAUGAGGAGUUCGGUUUUGAGUUGGGUCCAUGUGAGGUUUGGAGUGCGGCCUCUAAGCCAUCAUAACCAGUGGAGAGGAUGGUCCUUCAUUCCCACGAGAGCCAUGGCAACAAACCGGCUGGAGGGGUGUUUUGUAACUCAAAAUAUUGCUCAGAUCUUGCAAUCUAGCCGAAUGGGUCAGUUCCGGUGAAAAUGGGCAUUUGGAGUUUUUGAAUGUAGUUAUGGUUUGAAGAUGAGGAGUGUGGGUGAAGGUCGGUGGUGGUGGGUGGGGAAUGGGAAUUGAUGGUAGCAGAUUGGUCUGGGUUUUGUGGGUUGGAUGGUGGAGGAGGAGGAUGUGUGUCAGAUGAAGAAGCAGGGGAUGUACCUGUGAGAAGAAGGGGUUUAAGCUCUUGGAGACCUUGUUGAAGCUCCGGAAGCUGGCGGGAAUUAUCAAGUCUGAUAGAAGCAAUAGAGUCUUCAAUGGAGGCGAUGUUCUUCUCCAGAGUUUUCACCCUUUGAUCCAUUCUGGUCUUAGGCAUUCAGAAAAAAAUCCAAAGCAGGUCGGACCAAAUGAUAGAGAUUAGAACGCAAGAACAGUAAGGAGAAACAUAGUUGAUUGAAGGACAGAAUUUGUAGUAGUAUUAGAAGAAGAAAGUUGAAGAUAACAAUGGAGAGUGACAAAAAUGACUGUAAAACAGCCCCCAGGACUUGAGCCCGAAGUAGAUACUCUGCUCAAUACAACAAAAGAGAAUAAAGAUGCCAUGUACAUGAUUACUGCUAACAUAUAUAUAGAAUCAUUCCUAACAAACAUGCUGAGCUGUCUCAAUCCCUUCCUUGCUGCACACCGCUCCCCUUCGUUGCAGAUUUAUUCCUUCUAUAAUAAACCAAAAACGGUUUUGCACUUGAUGACGUGGCAUUCCUAUCA